UGGGUAUUUAGUUUAUUUAAAACGAAUGUUUUGAAAACAUUUAAAGGAUUACCUAUCCAAUACCC
rnacentral:tRNA from 1 species